UAACGCGUGGAAACCUACCAUUCUGUACGGAAUAACGAUUGGAAACGAUCGCUAAUACCGUAUACGCCCUGUGGGGGAAAGGUCCGCCGCAGAAUGAGGGGUCCGCGUCCGAUUAGCUUGUUGGUGGGGUAAAAGCCUACCAAGGCGAUGAUCGGUAGCUGGUCUGAGAGGAUGAUCAGCCACACUGGGACUGAGACACGGCCCAGACUCCUACGGGAGGCAGCAGUGGGGAAUAUUGGACAAUGGGGGCAACCCUGAUCCAGCAAUGCCGCGUGUGUGAAGAAGGCCUUAGGGUUGUAAAGCACUUUCAAUGGUGAAGAUGAUGACGGUAGCCGUAAAAGAAGCCCCGGCUAACUUCGUGCCAGCAGCCGCGGUAAUACGAAGGGGGCGAGCGUUGUUCGGAAUUACUGGGCGUAAAGGGCGCGCAGGCGGCCAUCCAGUCAGGUGGNGAAAGCCCCGGGCUUACCUGGG
rnacentral:rRNA from 1 species